rnacentral:misc_RNA from 1 species
AGUACACCCUAGCAGUCUCUUUCUUCCUCCAUUUCUCCUCUAAAACCCUAAUUUCUCUCUAAAACCCUAAAAGCAGCUAUGGAGUUUUGGGGUGCUGAGGUGAAAAGUGGAGAGCCAUUAACUGUACAGCCUGGAGAUGGGAUGGUUUUGCAUCUUUCACAGGCAUCUCUUGGUGAGGUGAAAAAGGAUAAAGCAUCAGAACCUGUAUGCUUGUCUGUAACUAUUGAUGGCAAGAAGCUUGUUCUUGGCACACUCAGCUUAGAUAAGCUGCCUCAACAACAAUUUGACCUGGUUUUUGAUAGAGACUUUGAACUAUCACACAACUGGAAAAAUGGUAGCGUCUACUUUUUUGGAUACAAGGCUGCCAACCCAUUCGAGGAUGAGGAGGAUGUAGAUGAAGUUGAAGAUGAGUCUGAUGAGGAAAUACCCCUUUCAAUUGCAAACAAUGGAAAGACUGAAGCCAAGGCUAGUGCAAAGGAUUCUGCUUCAACUAAGCAGAAGGUGAGGGUUAUAGAGUUUACUAAAGUUGACAAGGCGGAAGAUCAAGAUGAGAGCACUGAUGAGUCUGCGGAUGAAGAUGAUUCUAUGAUGGGGGAGGAUGAAGAAGGUGAUAGUGAUGAAGAUCAAGAUGAGAGCACUGAUGAGUCUGCGGAUGAAGAUGAUUCUAUGAUGGGGGAGGAUGAAGAAGGUGAUAGUGAU